rnacentral:rRNA from 1 species
CGCUGGCGGCGUGCUUAACACAUGCAAGUCGAACGGAAAGGCCCUGCUUUUGUGGGGUGCUCGAGUGGCGAACGGGUGAGUAACACGUGAGUAACCUGCCCUUGACUUUGGGAUAACUUCAGGAAACUGGGGCUAAUACCGGAUAGGAGCUCCUGCUGCAUGGUGGGGGUUGGAAAGUUUCGGCGGUUGGGGAUGGACUCGCGGCUUAUCAGCUUGUUGGUGGGGUAGUGGCUUACCAAGGCUUUGACGGGUAGCCGGCCUGAGAGGGUGACCGGCCACAUUGGGACUGAGAUACGGCCCAGACUCCUACGGGAGGCAGCAGUGGGGAAUAUUGCACAAUGGGCGGAAGCCUGAUGCAGCAACGCCGCGUGCGGGAUGACGGCCUUCGGGUUGUAAACCGCUUUCGCCUGUGACGAAGCGUGAGUGACGGUAAUGGGUAAAGAAGCACCGGCUAACUACGUGCCAGCAGCCGCGGUGAUACGUAGGGUGCGAGCGUUGUCCGGAUUUAUUGGGCGUAAAGGGCUCGUAGGUGGUUGAUCGCGUCGGAAGUGUAAUCUUGGGGCUUAACCCUGAGCGUGCUUUCGAUACGGGUUGACUUGAGGAAGGUAGGGGAGAAUGGAAUUCCUGGUGGAGCGGUGGAAUGCGCAGAUAUCAGGAGGAACACCAGUGGCGAAGGCGGUUCUCUGGGCCUUUUCCUGACGCUGAGGAGCGAAAGCGUGGGGAGCGAACAGGCUUAGAUACCCUGGUAGUCCACGCUGUAAACGGUGGGUACUAGGUGUGGGGUCCAUUCCACGGGUUCCGUGCCGUAGCUAACGCUUUAAGUACCCCGCCUGGGGAGUACGGCCGCAAGGCUAAAACUCAAAGGAAUUGACGGGGCCCCGCACAAGCGGCGGAGCAUGCGGAUUAAUUCGAUGCAACGCGUAGAACCUUACCUGGGUUUGACAUGGAUCGGGAGUGCUCAGAGAUGGGUGUGCCUCUUUUGGGGUCGGUUCACAGGUGGUGCAUGGCUGUCGUCAGCUCGUGUCGUGAGAUGUUGGGUUAAGUCCCGCAACGAACGCAACCCUUGUUCACUGUUGCCAGCACGUUAUGGUGGGGACUCAGUGGAGACCGCCGGGGUCAACUCGGAGGAAGGUGGGGAUGACGUCAAGUCAUCAUGCCCCUUAUGUCCAGGGCUUCACGCAUGCUACAAUGGCUGGUACAGAGAGUGGCGAGCCUGUGAGGGUGAGCGAAUCUCGGAAAGCCGGUCUCAGUUCGGAUUGGGGUCUGCAACUCGACCUCAUGAAGUCGGAGUCGCUAGUAAUCGCAGAUCAGCAACGCUGCGGUGAAUACGUUCCCGGGGCUUGUACACACCGCCCGUCAAGUCAUGAAAGUUGGUAACACCCGAAGCCGGUGGCCUAACCGUUGUGGGGGAGCCGUCGAAGGUGGGACUGGUGAUUAGG